rnacentral:rRNA from 1 species
UACGUAGGUGGCAAGCGUUGUCCGGAUUUACUGGGUGUAAAGGGCGUGUAGCCGGGCUGACAAGUCAGACGUGAAAUCCGGGGGCUCAACCCCCGAACUGCAUUUGAAACUGUUGGUCUUGAGUAUCGGAGAGGCAGGCGGAAUUCCUAGUGUAGCGGUGAAAUGCGUAGAUAUUAGGAGGAACACCAGUGGCGAAGGCGGCCUGCUGGACGACAACUGACGGUGAGGCGCGAAAGCGUGGGGAGCAAACAGG